rnacentral:rRNA from 1 species
GAUGAACGCUGGCGGCGUGCUUAACACAUGCGAGUCGAACGAUGAAGCCCAGCUUGCUGGGCGGAUUAGUGGCGAACGGGUGAGUAACACGUGAGUAACCUGCCCUUGACUCUGGGAUAAGCCCGGGAAACUGGGUCUAAUACCGGAUAGGAGCGCCUGUCGCAUGACGGGUGCUGGAAAGAUCUUUCGGUCAUGGAUGGACUCGCGGCCUAUCAGCUUGUUGGUGAGGUAACGGCUCACCAAGGCGACGACGGGUAGCCGGCCUGAGAGGGUGACCGGCCACACUGGGACUGAGACACGGCCCAGACCCCUACGGGAGGCAGCAGUGGGGAAUAUUGCACAAUGGGCGAAAGCCUGAUGCAGCGACGCCGCGUGAGGGAUGACGGCCUUCGGGUUGUAAACCUCUUUCAGCGGGGAAGAAGCGAAAGUGACGGUACCUGCAGAAGAAGCACCGGCUAACUACGUG